rnacentral:hammerhead_ribozyme from 1 species
GCACUGCUGAGGAGUCAUGCAAUAGGACGAAACGGCCGUCCAGUGC